rnacentral:tRNA from 1 species
ACCUGGCUAGCUCAGUUGGUGGAGCAUGUGACUCUUGAUCUCAGGGUCAUGGGAUCAAGCCCCACAUUGGGUG